GCGGGCGAUUGAUCCUCCAUGCCGGCGAGAAGGGAUCCGCCACGCCGGCCUCCAAGAUCACCGCGCUUGUGGAAGCGCCAGGAUCAUACUCUCCCUCCCAGUUCCUCCCAAAGUACGACUACCUCUACUGCGGCUCCUCGCUGUUUGGCGACGUCAAUCCACAGCGGCUUCGCGAGUGGAUCGCAUACCACGCCUGGCUGUUUGGACCGAGAUCGCAUUUCGUGCUCCACGACGCCGGCGGCGCGCGAUCCAAGGGCGUGAGAUCAGUGCUGGAGCCUUGGGUCCGAUCGGGCCGAGUGACCGUCCAGGAUUUUCGCGAGCAAGCACGCUUCGAUGGCUACUACCAUAACCAGUUCCUGGUCGUGAACGAUUGCUUGUUUCGCUACAAGCACGCCGCCAAUUGGACCUUUUUCUUCGACGUGGACGAGUACGUACACGUUCCCGGCCCAUCCACGUUGGGUUCCGUGCUGAACGAGCUUGGCCAAAAGUACUCUCAGAUCAUCUUUAAGCAGACCCCCAUGGGCCACAAUGUGUGCAUCGACAGCAAUCGUACGAACUUAUCUAGGUGACUCUGUGUGUGUGUGUGUGAUCGUUUAGAGCUAGAGUUCCUUUUAGAUCGCCUUGGUGUUUCUUCUAUAUCUUACGGUCGCUUCAUCUUCUUCUUCCAGACAAUGGGGAUUUGAGAAGCUGGUUUUCAUCAACGUCAACGUCCAAAAAACGUUGCAUCUCGAGCGAAAGUACGUAUUGCGAGCGCCACUAGCAGAUUCCGCAGGAGUCCAUCUCUCGCAGAAUAUAAGAGGGAAGAGCAUCUACUCGAAAGACCAGAUUUCUUACUACCACUUCCACAACACCAUCAGCGAACACCAGGAGAAUUGCCGAGAGUUUGUCAAGGUUCCCAAGCACAAGACUUCCAAAGUGUGGCUCAACAAAGUCCCGUACCUUUAUGACGAUAGAUUGAGCUCUUUGGCUGAUAAGGUGAAGGAGUUUGAGCUACAAACCAUUGGUCCAGUAACACUGUAGAGAAAAAAGAUUAAACAGGUCAGAGCCAUUCUUUGUAAAGGACUAGAAACUUAUAUGAUACCCGAGGCCAGCUGGCCCAUACAGGAUUUCCAACUGACAAAAUGUUUAUUGCUGAUCACAUACAUGGCAUUUUCCUGUAGGAAGCAAAUUAACUUCACAACACUGACUGGAUUUGCCGCUAUGGAGCCGUGGUUAAACUAGAAUAUAAAAGGGAUUUAGUACCUGUUAAGGAGGGAGAUCUUGGUUCUCUUCUAUCAGAGCACCAGAGUAUUGUCCAGGAAAGCUGAAGAUCGGCUGGAUAUGGUGAAAAGAGUAGAUAAGAACAUCAGCAUGCGAUUCGGCUGCCGCCUUGAGUUCGUGAGCGAUUUAGGUACGCAGUUUAUUAAUACGGUUAUUGCAGACACCGUAUCCUCCUUAGCAAAUGGCGAAGUUGAGCGGACAAACAAGACGCUAUAUGCACUAUGACUAAGAUUUGCAACGCUGGGACUUGAAACACUAGCGGUGCAAAUCUUAGUCAGAGUGUCACAUAGUCUCUUGUUUGCCACACAACUAUGUGCGGAGAGUCGAUGAGUUGGGCAUGAGAGCUGCAAUAACCUAAAAUGCUACCUCUAUCUCAAUCAGGCAGCCAAAUCACGUGACACGGUGUGCAUUCACAGAGGAACCCUCCAAGUCUUCAGGGAGUCGCCACAGCUACCUGCCAUUGGACCUCUUCUGUCAGAUGGAGCUCGCUUGACAUUGUAGUCCUCUCGAAUGGAAAGGUCAUCUCGAUCGCCUCUAGAUCCAGGCCGCGCAGAUCAUCACAUUCCAAGAGACUGGACUUCUAGUCAACAAUGGUGUCAAAGGAUUCAAUUGUGGUGGAAGCGGCGAUGAUGAUUAUCGCCCUCUCGACUAGAGCCUCGAUGCUGAUGCAAGCUCUCGGGAUAGAUCCCACGCUAUGUAGUUGUUCUAGCACUGCUGCCGCUGGCCAUAUUUUGAGUUUGUAACUUAUAAGCAAAAGGCAGGAUUGAACCUUUCGUUUUAUAUUUCUCAAAUAUUAAGAAACAAGGAAUCGCAAAACCAGAGAAGGAGCCGAGAACUCCAAUCCAAAGGAAUAUUGUUGUUGCUAAGUCUUCUCCCACGCCUUGAACUUUUCUCGACUUGAACUUCUGGGACUUUAGGCUUUGGAUCUUCUUCUUCUUCGCCACCAUUUCUGCUAAGUAGUCGUCAUGAUUAUGUUCUUCCCAUUUUCAACGCCUCUCCAUGAUCUGCUCAGCAGUGAAGUUACUUUGCAGCGAUCCAUGUCCAUGAUCUGCCGGGGAGUGUAGGUUUGUGUCCUGACGUGAAAAGGAUACCAUUAUACGUGAAAAGGAAACUAUUAUAAUAACCGCUAAUGUGGAUUCCAUGCUUGCAAAACGCAUUCCAACUUACAAAACCUCGACUUUACUUUCAUUUGAAGCCGCGAGGACCGAAAAACUCGAAAAAAUCUGAAAACGAUUAAUUAGAACAAUGGCUUUGCGAGCAAGUAUAUAAAACUGAGAAAAGCGUCCGAGAGAAUCGCCAAAAGCACCACACCAGUGGUGGGAUGGAAUUGAAGCACUAGCAACCACGAUAACGAUAUGACCUCGUCCGUACGAGACGGCGGGUGUGCCGUACGCCUCACAAUGGGCCACGCGAACGAGAGAAAUAGAAGAGAAAAGAAGCUAUCUAUUUCUAUGCCGUAAGUCGGAAGGCGUCUGCGAGGAGCCCAGCCGUGUAGAAAUGUGAGAGUCGACACUUCAGCGCAAAAGGGUAUUGAUCGAUCGUUCUCCCAAUCCAGAAUUCUCAAGAAUUCCAUUCCAUGCCACAUUCCAGAAUCGGAUCGAUCGAUCCAGCUUUCCAGAUGAAGGCGCCGGUUGCAGCGCCGGGUCUGCUCCUCCUCCACGCCUCCGCCAGCGGCAAAUCCACCGCGAAUGUGCUGCUGGUCGGGACAAUCUUCCUCGUCGCCUCCCUGCUCGUCAUCCUCGGGUCCUUCACGACCAAGAGCAGCGGCAGCAGCAGCAGCAGCGUCGAAUUCGUGAUGCCCGUCACGCAGUCCUGCGAGAAAUCGUCGCCCAGCUCGUCAAUGUCCAAGAAUUUCGUCCCCGCUGAGGCAAUUGAUCCAAUUCCCGCGCUCGAAGAACAGGGGACCGGGAUACACUCCAAUGUCCGCCAUCUCCAUCCAAUCGGCGUCGCCGCCCACACAUUCGUCCUCACUGGAGGCUAUAGAACAGAGAAGAGGUCCUUCGCGGUCGUGGGCCUCGCCUCCAAGCCCCUCCACGUCUUUGGCAAGCCCGAGUUCUCGUGUGAAUGGGUGCCCACCACCUCGGCCUCCCAGCCCACCUCGGACUCUCCUUCUUCUUCUUCCAUCUUUGGCCGCGCAAAGAGAAUCUUGCCCGACUGGGGCUAUGGCCGCGUCUACACCGUGGUAGUCGUCCACUGCUACUUCAAAUCCUCCGUGGGCGAGAACGGCAGCGGCGGGCGAUUGAUCCUCCAUGCCGGCGAGAAGGGAUCCGCCACGCCGGCCUCCAAGAUCACCGCGCUUGUGGAAGCGCCAGGAUCGUACUCUCCCUCCCAGUUCCUCCCAAAGUACGACUACCUCUACUGCGGCUCCUCGCUGUUUGGCGACAUCAAUCCACAGCGGCUGCGCGAGUGGAUCGCGUACCACGCCUGGCUGUUCGGACCAAGAUCGCAUUUCGUGCUCCACGACGUCGGCGGCGCGCGAUCC
rnacentral:lncRNA from 1 species